UAGGCUUCCUCCUGAACUCAGCAACAAGAUUCAGAGGGUUGUAUAGCACCUGGUCCAGAAGAGCUAUGCAAGCCAGGUAGCAGAGGAAAGAGCACAGGUGAGGAGUGGGUGUACAUUCCGGUUAUAUCCUAGAACCAGUGGGACGUCAUGAAUUUGACAUUUAUUGAAGGCACAAAAUCUCACUGAGUCUCCUAUCCAAGCUACCCUGCCUCUGGAAGAAAAGGCACUUCAAGCUGUAAUCAUGGAGAAAUACGAAGAACAUUCAGAACCAGAAGUUGCUCUCCUUGUCUGUAAUUUUCUACUUUUCUUUUUACUGCUAAUGCUGGUAAUUAAUAAAAGUAUUUGUAUUUCAGUGAGAUUUCUGUUUCUCCUUCUACAUUGUUAACAUUGGCUUUAAGAUCUGACAGUCUGUCCUAUUUGUGAGGGCAAGAAUAACACUACAAGGUGCCAUGGCUUAAAAGGAAAGGGGAAGAAAAA
rnacentral:lncRNA from 1 species